UACGGAAGGUGCAAGCGUUGUUCGGAGUGACUGGGCGUAAAGGGCGCGUAGGCUGGAAGGUAAGAAGAUUGUGAAAACCCUAGGCUCAACCUGGGACUUGCAGUUUUGACUGCUUUUCUUGAAUGUCCAAGAGGUUAGUGGAAUUCCUGGUGUAGGAGUGAAAUCCGUAGAUAUCAGGAGGAACACCGGAGGCGAAGGCGGCGUGACUGGUGGAGCAUUGACGCUGAGGCGCGAAAGCACGGGUAGCAAACAGG
rnacentral:rRNA from 1 species